rnacentral:rRNA from 1 species
GGCGAAAGGGUGAGGAAUGGAUAGGUAACGUACCUCGGGCUCCGGAAUAGCUCAUCGAAAGGUGGGGUAAUGCCGGAUGAUGUCCUGUGUUUAAUGCACGGGACCAAAGAUCUAUCGGCCCCUGAGCGGCCUAUUCCCUAUCAGCUUGUUGGUGAGGUAACGGCUCACCAAGGCGACGACGGGUAGCGGGACUGAGAGGUUGACCCGCCACAUCGGAACUGAGACACUGUCCGGACCUCCACGGAGGGCUGCAGUAACGAAUAUUGGGCAAUGGGCGAAAGCCUGACCCAGCAAUGCCGCGUGUAGGAUGAAGCUUUUCGGAGUGUAAAGCACUUUCAGUAGGGAAGAAAUGCGUGUAGCUAAUAACUGCGCGUCUUGACGGUACCUACAGAAGGAGUCACGGCUAACUUCGUGCCAGCAGCCGCGGUAAUACGAAGGUGGCAAGCGUUAUUCGAAAUCACUGGGCUUAAAGGGCGCGUAGGCGGAUAUGUAAGUGUCAGGUGAAAUCCCUCGGCUUAACCGAGGAAUUGCCUGACAAACUACAUAUCUUGAGUCAAGUAGGGGUGUGUGGAACUCUUGGUGGAGCGGUGGAAUGCGUAGAUAUCAAGAGGAACGCCGAAGGUGAAGACAGCACACUGGACUUGUACUGACGCUGAGGCGCGAAAGCGUGGGGAGCGAACAGGAUUAGAUACCCUGGUAGUCCACGCCGUAAACGAUGUAUACUAGGUCGCGGAGGUUCUGACACCGUCGCGGUCGUAGCAAAAAUGUUAAGUAUACCGCCUGGGGAGUACGGUCGCAAGGCUAAAACUCAAAGGAAUUGACGGGGGCUCACACAAGCGGUGGAGCAUGUGGAUUAAUUCGAAACAACGCGCAGAACCUUACCUGGGUUUGACAUGUAUGGAUGCCUAUCUGGAAACAGAGUCGGCUGCCCUCGGGUGAAACUUACACAGGUGCUGCAUGGCUGUCGUCAGCUCGUGUCGUGAGAUGUCGGGUUAAGUCCUUUAACGAGCGAAACCCUUACCGUUAGUUGCCAGCGCGUCAUGGCGGGGACUCUAGCGGGACUGCCGGUGUUAAACCGGAGGAAGGCGGGGAUGACGUCAAGUCCUCAUGGCCUUUAUGCCCAGGGCUUCACACGUGCUACAAUGGCAGGUACAAAGCGACGCGAUACCGCGAGGUGGAGCAAAUCGCAAAAAACCUGCCCCAGUUCAGAUUGCAGGCUGACAACUCGCCUGCAUGAAGUUGGAAUCGCUAGUAAUCGCGUAUCAGCGAUGACGCGGUGAAUGUGUUCCUGAGCCUUGUACACACCGCCCGUCAAAUCACGGGAGCUGGGAGUACCCGAAGUCGGAUUGCUAACUUUCGAGAGGCGUCUGCCGACGGUAAGUCCGGUGACUGGGAUUAAGUCGAAACAAGGUA